CACGUAGGGGACGAGCGUUGUCCGGAUUCAUUGGGCGUAAAGCGCGUGUAGGCGGUCCACUAAGUCGGCUGUGAAAGUCCAGGGCUCAACCCUGGGAUGCCGGUGGAUACUGUCGGGCUCGAGUCCGGAAGAGGAGUGUGGAAUUCCUGGUGUAGCGGUGAAAUGCGCAGAUAUCAGGAAGAACACCCCGUGGCUAAGGCGGUUCUCUAGUACGGUACUGACGCUGAGACGCG
rnacentral:rRNA from 1 species